GAGGGUAUAGCUCAGUGAUACAGCAUGUGCUUAGUAUGCAUGAGGUCCUGGGUUCAAUCACCAGUACCUCCA
rfam:Camelus ferus unplaced genomic scaffold scaffold56579, whole genome shotgun sequence.